AUGGGAGGAGGCGCUCCAUCAAGGAGCCACCACUGGUGCCAUGGCGUCAAAAGAUCUACAGCCGGGGAUGAGAUGUGGAUACGCCGCCAGACUCCCUCUUCCCCUUCCCGUGUGAGCUCCUUCUUUCACUCCCUCGAUUCACCUGUUCUCCUACUCCCUCACUUGUUGCCCUCCAUCUCCGGCGGAUCCAUGGCGUUGGAAGCUAGUGGGGCGAGGUGGCACUCGCAGGAGGCAACGCACAGUGCAGGAGGGAUGGUGGCAGUCCAGCAAUCUCGUGGCUUAGCAGGGACCGAUCCAUGA
rnacentral:rRNA from 1 species